rnacentral:rRNA from 1 species
GACGAACGCUGGCGGCGUGCUUAACACAUGCAAGUCGAACGAUGAAGCUGGAGCUUGCUCUGGCGGAUUAGUGGCGAACGGGGGAGUAACACGUGAGAAAUCUGCCCUUGACUCUGGGAUAACUGCGGGAAACUGUAGCUAAUACCGGAUACUUUCCCUGGUGGGCAUCCACUGGGGACGAAAGAAUUUCGGUCAAGGAUGAUCACGCGGCCUAUCAGCGUGUUGGUGAGGUAAUGGCUCACCAAGGCGACGACGGGUAGCCGGCCUGAGAGGGUGACCGGCCACACUGGGACUGAGACACGGCCCAGACUCCUACGGGAGGCAGCAGUGGGGAAUAUUGGACAAUGGGCGCAAGCCUGAUGCAGCAACGCCGCGUGAGGGAUGAAGGCCUUCGGGUUGUAAACCUCUUUUAGCAGGGAAGAAGCGAAAGUGACGGUACCUGCAGAAAAAGCACCGGCUAACUACGUGCCAGCCGCCGCAGUAA